UACGUAGGGGGCAAGCGUUGUCCGGAAUCAUUGGGCGUAAAGAGCGUGUAGGCGGUCCGGUAAGUCGGCUGUGAAAGUCCAGGGCUCAACCCUGGGAUGCCGGUCGAUACUGCCGGACUAGAGUUCGGAAGAGGCGAGUGGAAUUCCCGGUGUAGCGGUGAAAUGCGCAGAUAUCGGGAGGAACACCAGUGGCGAAGGCGGCCACCUGGACGAACACUGACGCUGAGACGCGAAAGCGUGGGUAGCAAACAGG
rnacentral:rRNA from 1 species